rnacentral:rRNA from 1 species
AAUAUUGCACAAUGGGCGAAAGCCUGAUGCAGCAACGCCGCGUGAGCGAUGAAGGCCUUUGGGUCGUAAAGCUCUGUCCUUGGGGAAGAAAAAAAUGACGGUACCCAUGGAGGAAGCCCCGGCUAACUACGUGCCAGCAGCCGCGGUAAUACGUAGGGGGCAAGCGUUAUCCGGAAUUAUUGGGCGUAAAGAGUGCGUAGGUGGUUUUGUAAGCGCGGGGUGAAAGGCUAUGGCUCAACCAUAGUAAGCCUUGUGAACUGUAAGACUUGAGUGCAGGAGAGGAAAGCGGAAUUCCUAGUGUAGCGGUGAAAUGCGUAGAUAUUAGGAGGAACACCAGUGGCGAAGGCGGCUUUCUGGACUGUAACUGACACUGAGGCACGAAAGCGUGGGGAGCGAACAGG